rnacentral:sRNA from 1 species
GGCCCUGCUCUGCAGCCCCCCAGCCUGGCUGUGCGGCCCCCACCUGCUCCUGCUACUCGGGUGCUGCCUUCACCUGCCAGGCCCUUCCCCGCUAGCUUGGGGCGAGCAGAGGUAAGGUACAGGAACUGAGGGACUAGGGAGCGCCAAGACUUAGGAGUAGGGAUUCUGUAUUUCAAGGUAGGCAGCUCAUGAUUUUUUUUCCCUCAGCUGCAUCCAGUGGAACUAAAGCCGUUCCAGGAUUAUCAAAAACUGAGCAGCAACCUUGGGGGACCUGGAUCAUCACGGACUCCCCCAGCUGGAAGGUCCUUCUCUGGCCUCAAUUCGCGUCUCAAGGCCACGCCUUCCACCUACAGUGGAGUCUUCCGCACCCAGCGCGUCGACCUUUACCAGCAGGCCUCCCCACCAGAUGCCCUGCGCUGGAUACCUAAGCCUUGGGAGCGGACAGGGCCGCCACCUCGAGAAGGGCCCUCCCGACGGGCAGAGGAGCCUGGGUCCCGAGGGGACAAGGAGCCUGGGUUGCCCCCACCCCGCUGAGGGAGUUCCUCUUGCCCCCUACCCCCGGGGCUUGUAUAUAGAUUAUAAAUAUAUAAGGGGGAAAGGGGUGGGCGGGGAGGGGUUGUGGGGCUGGGGCCUCACUUCCCCUCCUCCCCCUUCCCCUGGUCCCCUGUCCCUGGGGCUGUUUGUUAAAAAAGAGUAAUAAAAGGAUUUAAAAAAAAA